UGUCUCUCGCAAGGCGACGCUCCAUCCCUGGCGAGUGGCAGCAGCGCUCCUCGGGUCCUGUGGCUCACGCUUUGGUACUAGAGGCCGGACUGUUCUGGCGACCGCGACCUCUGCGGCAACGGCUGAAGUUCUCGGAGGAGUAUCGGAGUACGGUCUGGAGGAGAGGCUUCUGGUCUGCCCAGGCAGCUGGAAGGUGAACGCGAGAGAGGAAGAAUACACUGUACAGGGAACUUUGCAAGGCUCUGUCAUAAUGAAUGGAUCCAGUGUGGCCAAUACAUCACCCAGUAUAAAAUCCAAAGAGGACCAGGGCUUAAGUGGGCACGAUGAGAAGGAAAACCCAUUUGCAGAGUACAUGUGGAUGGAGAAUGAAGAGGACUUCAACAGACAGGUGGAGGAGGAGCUGCAGGAGCAAGAAUUCUUGGACCACUGCUUCCAGGAGAUGCUGGAUGAGGAAGACCAAGACUGGUUUAUUCCAUCUCGAGACCUGCCUCAGGCCAUGGGACAGUUGCAACAGCAGUUCAACGGACUGUCGGUCAGUGAUGGUCAUGAUUCUGAAGAUAUUUUGAGCAAAAGUAACCUGAACCCGGAUGCCAAGGAAUUUAUUCCAGGAGUGAAGUACUGAGCUGACAGAAAGCUUUGAGGAGGACUUGUAUGUCCCCACAUCUGGGGACAGGGCUGCACAACAAGGCGGAGCCGAAGAGGGGGGUGGGUGGGUGAGGGGUGCACAGGGGGGAAGGGGAACAGUGGUUUAACUUGACACUGUGACUGGCAUAGCUUAUGUGCUCAGUUUUUCUCUACAGCCUCUGAGUAUUUCCUUUUGUUCUACUGACUUUUCAUUGGUUCUACUGACUUUCAUUUCAACUAUUAUUAUUGUUGUUGUUGUUGUUAGCUUUUUGACUUAGGAAGAUUGCAGUCUUUUUUCCCCCUUCAUCAGGAAUGUUCUGCUGUGUGUGUUUAAAGAAAAUAAGCUGACCAAGAAAAUCCGGGUGUUUAAGAAUGCCCUUCUCACCCUGCUGUAUACUUACCAAGGGCAGAGAACACCUGGAAAACUACUUAUUCAGUCUCUUAAGCUGGAAGAGAAGAGGGAUGAGUAGAAGAAGCAGGGAUUGCAAAGCAGAGCACCCAACGCCCCAACCCCUGGGGCUUUCCCACGAUGAACUGGGAUUACCAGUGUCCUGCAGAGCCCACGUCCCUACCUGAGCCCCAUUCAAGAAAACACAGGCUUAAAGUACUAAUCCCCAUUACUUUCGAUGGUAGAUGAACUUCAGAUGGUCGAUAAGAGUUGUAACUCAAGGAGAGGACUGGGGUGGUGAUUGUCCCUCGAGUCCUUCAGUUCAUCCAGUUACCGCUGGCCUGCUCUUAAACCUGUGGGUACAGCUACCAUCGGACUCGUCGUUUACCAGGCAAAAGAGCACCAGGGUGGAUUUGCCACUUAGUCCCUCAUGGUGUCUAGUCCCUUGUUUCUUUUCUACCCCAACUCUACUGUUUUUUUAAAAAAGAUAUCGUUAGCAAAAGUGUACAAGAGGCAUGCUGUGCUGGCCAUCAGCUUCAUUCUGGAGAAGUCAUCCUGAAUCCUUUUAGUUAUGGCUUAAGUUUAUUUUGACAGUUUUUCAUUAGCCCCAUGAAAACUUGGUCCACCUGGUAUCUUCUUUUCCUUAAACUGGUUUGUGCACUUUUACAAGUCAUUGUAUUUUUCAGGACGGUAGCAUGAAGCUGAACUCACAAUUUGGAUGUUUCUCCCCACUUUACAGAAUUAGGCAAAAGAACUCCAAAAAAGCCUAGGCGAGUGAGUUCUGCUUUUGACCCUGUGACUGUGUGACCCACUGGGACAGUUUUGGCAGUUAUAAAAUUUUGCUGUUCCCACACACCCAUUUUUCUAGGUUGGACCUUCUGGGUACAUUCCUUUUGUCUUUACUGCCUACAGGUCACAGGAAGUUUUUUAGCUGUUGUCGAUCCUCAUAAGGACCUAAACCGGGCGCCAGCAGCUGCCUUUGAGUGAUAGAGAUGUCGGUGGCAGAGUCAGGUUUAAAAGAGAGUGUGUCCAGUCCUGGCCAUCCCCACAGAACAGGCAAGGACUUGCAGGGACCUGAGGGGGACAGUGGCUCCUGUAUGACUGCCACUGUCCUGUGGGAUAGGCCUAUAUCAGGAGGAGAUCAUGUAACUUGAAAUAAAGUCUGUGUAAAUUCAGUAUGUGGAUGUGGGACAGAGGUUGAAAGAAAAGAAUGAGGAUUUGGAAGGUUUAAGAGUUUCUCCUUUUUUCUCAUGAGCUCCCUUGUUGACGUUUUGGACAGCCACAGGUUAAUGUCAGGUUGAAAAUACAAAUCCACAUCUUUUCCUCAUUGGAGUCCUUAGGAUGACAUCAUUUUUAAAAAAUGCCCUUCCUUGCUGGGUCACGUGUCAUAGGAGGGUAGCUUAGGGAGCUUAUAUUGCCACUUGUGCUCCUGAAUUCCCAAAGCCUCUACCUGGAGAGAAUGAAACUCUUGUUUUCAGGGUGGACUGUAAAUAAAGAAACAGCUUAAUUCUGGCUUCAGCUUUCACCCGGAAUUGUUGCCUCUAAUAAGGAGAGGGCCCUGGAAGUGCAGAAAUAGAGGUCCUCUUCCAGGACUGCUUUUCCUCCUUUCCAUCUCCAUUAUCUUGCCCAAGCUCAGAAUUCUAAAGACUUCUAUAAAUGUGUUGGGAUUGCAGAAGAGCCUUUUUCUAGACCAUGUUGUCUCCAUCACAAAGAGCAUCAUGGAUUCUUGUGUGGCUCCUGGACUGGGAAGUCCUACAGGGAUCCAGAUGGAGCCGUCUCUUUAUCCUGAGGAAGGCUUGCUCUUCGGACACCAGGAUAGGCUAAGGUGUGAGGUAUCGUCCUCAGGGCUUGUUUUUCCAUCUGCUGUGGGGUUCCAUCUUGAAUUUCAGUCGUUGAGCAAUGGAACUGAGCAAUGGAAGCUGAGGGCUGGCCUUUCCAGUCCUGUUCAGACUCAGUGUGCUGACUGUAGGAUCAGGAAGCAGUGUGACCCCUUUUUAAUGUGCAGGUUUGUGCUUUCAGCUGUUCCUCUUGUAGCCUGACUCUUUUCUCCAUCUAUUUUAUAUGGUAGGGUGGGAGCAGAAUUGUCACCCAGGACACAGGCUCAGCUCUAGUCAGUUUAUCAGCUCCCUAGCAGAAAAUGCAUGGAGAUCUUACUGGAUCUUCCUGGGGGAAAGGCUGGGAACCUCUGUCUCAGACUUUUCCUCAGAAGAGAGGUUCUGGGUACAAGCCACGCUAGGCAUCUUCACCCUUUAAGGGUGAGGCUGGUAUUAUAAGUGAUCAUUUUAAUGUUGAAUUUAAACCACUACUCUGUUUAAGCUAAUUUUUUUUUUUUUUUUUUUAGCUGGCAACUGGAAUUUUGAAACAAUAUUGCUGGAGUUCCCAUUGUGGUACAGUGGAAAUGAAUCCGACUAGUAUCCAAGUGGGGUCAAUCCCUGGCCUCGCUCAGUGGGUUAAGGAUCCAGUGUUGUCGUGAGUGGUAGUGUAGGUUGCAGACGAGGCUUGGAUCCCACGUUGCUGUGGCUAUGGCAUAGGCCAGCAGCUGCAGCUCCGAUUUGACCCCUGGCCUGGGAACUUCUAUAUGCCGUAGGUGAGGCCCUUAAAAAAAAAAAGAGAAUAUUGCCAGUUGCCAAUUCUGGCUGGUCCAAGUGUCAACUUUGUUAGUGAUUGAUUUCUGACUUUUGUGAUUACUGGACUCUAAAACUCCAAAAUGAAAAUCAUUUUUAUCUCUUGCUCUUCAAGGGGGAGGAAAAAAAGAAAUACGUUUUCAGUUUCUCCAGCCCUUUGAACUGUAGCAGAACACUUGAUGGAUACAGCCUAGGCACCUGCAGCUCUGGGUCUUUGGACAAGUUUUCCACCACAGCAUUUGAUUUUGGGGAUCCUAUAAGGUCAGACCCAAAAAGAUGGUAAGAAAAAGGCUCGACUUUUGCAACACCUUUAGUUUCCCAAAUCAAAACAGCCAGGAUCUCUUUAAUUACAGUUACAGUACUAAAUGUCUUUAGUGAAAUAAUCAGCAUUUUUCAAAUUGUGUAUUGCCGUAAUGUCAAAGUUCUGUCUUGAUUUUGGAGAGGCUGGGAAGUAAGGUCAGUCAAACACUCUGACCUCAGAGUGGAAUUUAGUACAUGUCAAGAGAGGGAAGUUGUGUGAAGAGGCAGCCAAAGCAAACAGCUUGACUGCGUCUUGGAUCUUCUUGCAUUAGUGCUGCUGCAGAGCCCAUUUACACACAUCAAGAGCCGAGGAAUCUGCACUGCUGGGAUUGGAGGGGACAGGUGUUCUUGGAUAAGGGUCCCGGCGUCACAAGUUAAUAACGUUGCUUGGUUUAGGAUAUGCUGAGUUCUGAGAUUAGGCAGAGACCUGACAGAUCUGAGCAGGAUUUGGAGACAUGCACCUUUUGGGAAAGGCUCUAUCCCCAGCCACCCUCCCCUGGUCUAAUCGCAGCCCUCAGUAGUUUGGGAAGCGGGUAAAGAGAACAGGGUUGACAAGGAUCUGGUGAACCUUGGGAACCUUGAUCUCCUCCUGCCUCUGCCUCCAGCACCCCCAUGUGAAUCAUUUCCCCUCUCAUUGCACACAGAGAUCAUUAAUUCUGGCACGUGGGUAGUCAGUAGCAGAGUACUUUCUGUAGCCACUGCUCUACUGCUUUGUGAAUUUCACCCACAGACGUGGUUAGUCACAAUCUUGAAGGCUUUUUCUUUUCUUUUUUUUUUUUUUUUUUGCCUUUGUUUUUAAUCUUCUGUCUUUAUUUCUUCCAUCUUGAAGGUGCACUUAGUGACAAAGGACAGGGGACAGGAGGCUGACCAAGGAAACACUCAAGUUUUCUGCUUGCUGUUUGGCCUCUGCCCUCACUGCCCAACCCCCUACUGUUGUCCCCAGUCUGGAUUUGCAGGGAGAGGAGGGUCAUACAAUAGGUCAGUGAUCUCAAUAGCGUGUUAGCCAAGAGAUUCACCACCCUACCCUUGGGGGACAGAAGAGAAAUCUACAAAGGGACAGACAUGCCAUCUUUAUUCUAAAAGAAAAAGCUCCCUUUAGAAUUUCUAUUGUGGUGCAGUGGUAACGAACCCCACUAGUAUUCAUGAGGACUGGGGUUCAAUCCCUGGUCUCGCUUAGUGGGUUAAGGAUUCUGCACUGCCGUGAGCUAUGGUGUAGGUCGCAGAUGCAACUUGGAUCUGGCAUUGCUGUGGCUCUGGUGUAGGCCAGUUCGACCCCUAGCCUGGGAACCUCCAUGUGCCGCACAUGCAGCCUUAAAAAAAAAAAAAAAAAAAAGCCCCUUUAGAUUUCGUUAUUGGAGUCUCAUUUGUGGAGCCCGCUGAGCUUUUUCUGCCAAUCUUACCUUCUCACUGACUUCCUUUCAUUUUAAUAUUAUAAAUAAUGAAGUAACAUACUAGACUAUGUACUAUGUUCACUCCAUAACUCAACGCUAAGUGAUAAUCCUGUCCUAUUGAUUAUGAACCUUGAGAAAUGUUUAAUGCUUAAUGGGUGGUUUGGGAAGCAGGGACUUUUUUUUUCAGCAACUUUAUUGAGGCACAUCUUACAUAUAAAAUUCACCCAUUUCAAGUGUACAGUUCAGUGAUUUUAGUAACUUUCCUGAGUGGUGCAACCAUGCAGUUCUCAGUUUUAGGACACUUUCAUUCCCUCCAAUAAGAUCUUUCAUGCAUCUUUACAUAAUACCUGUUCCUAGCUCUAGGCAACGACUAAUUUGUAUCUAUGUCUGCCUUUUCUGGACAUCAUCUUAAUGGAAUCAUACAAAAUGUGGUCUCUUGUAUCUGGCUUUUUUCACUUGGCAUAUUUUCAAGGUUCAUCCAUGAUGUCUAACUUGUGUUAGUAGCUUUCUCCUUUUUUAUUGUGAAUAAUGUUCCAUCAAUACACCACAUUUGUCAGCAGGGAGUUUUUUAAACUUGGAUUUCAAGCUCUUGUGUUCUAAAUGAAACCCUCAGAACAUAGGACUCAUGGGGAAGCUGCUGUGCGUUUCAGAAGAACUGCUCAUCAGAACCUCCAGAAUCGCUGCAGAAAUUUUUAUAAUUUUGCAACUUCUUUUUUAUAUGAAACUUUUGUGCUGUCUACCUGUCAGGGCUUCUGAAGCCUCUGAUAAUUUAAAAAGUUAAUGAGCAUGUGUUUGAGCAGAGAAGAAAGUGAAACCAUCAGUACUGUGUUGGACACUUUUUCCUCCCUGAUUAUGGAGGAAUCUCUGAACGCUCUUCUCUGUCAUCUCCAUGACAAAGCUGAACAUGUAUUAAAGGUGAUGCUGCCUUUGUCAGACCGAUUUGGAAGAAAAGAGGCCAGCCAGCAGAGGUCAAGAGGAGAGAGGGAGUGGACUUUGUGGUCAUCCCAGUGGGUCUGUGCACGGCUGACACAUCUGCUGGUGUGGCUGAUGGUGAGGUGUGGAUGGUGCCAGGCAGCUUUAGCACCUCCAACAGGCCCAGGUCUGGACUUCGGCCCUUCAUCCCUAUUUUUCAAGUGUUUAAAGCUGUUUUCGUUUCUUCUUUUUCCUAAAUACACAUUACAUGGUAGUUAUUAAUACUUCUUUGGGGGAUGGGGCAGGGCUUUCAAAUUAAAUAAUUUUCAUAAAAAUAUCAAAAAUGGAAACAAGGUUACUUUUUUAAAAAUUUGCUAUACAAACCAAAUGGCAGCUGUUGAAAAUCUCAUUAAAAUGAGAAUAAAAUG
rnacentral:lncRNA from 1 species